AACGUAGACGUAAAGUUACGCUAAUACCGCAUACGAUCGUACGGAUAGAAAGGCGGGGGAUCGCAAGACCUCGCGCGAGUGGAGCGGCCGAUGUCAGAUUAGGUAGUUGGUGGGGUAAAGGCUCACCAAGCCAACGAUCUGUAGCUGGUCUGAGAGGACGACCAGCCACACUGGAACUGAGACACGGUCCAGACUCCUACGGGAGGCAGCAGUGGGGAAUUUUGGACAAUGGGCGCAAGCCUGAUCCAGCCAUUCCGCGUGCAGGAUGAAGGCCUUCGGGUUGUAAACUGCUUUUGUACGGAACGAAACGGCGAGCUCUAAUACAGUUUGCUAAUGACGGUACCGUAAGAAUAAGCACCGGCUAACUACGUG
rnacentral:rRNA from 1 species